UACGUAGGGGGGCUAGCGUUGUCCGGAUUUAUUGGGCGUAAAGAGCGUGUAGGCGGCCAUGUAGGUCCGGUGUGAAAACUCGAGGCUUAACCUCGAGAUGUCAUCGGAAACCAUUUGGCUAGAGUCCGGAAGAGGAGAGUGGAAUUCCCGGUGUAGCGGUGAAAUGCGCAGAUAUCGGGAAGAACACCCGUGGCGAAGGCGGCUUUCUGGGACGGUACUGACGCUGAGACGCGAAAGCGUGGGGAGCGAACAGGG
rnacentral:rRNA from 1 species